ensembl:lncRNA
GUUUGUACUUACUUAUAUUCUCCGAAGUGCAGUUAUGGCCUCUUAUUUAGACCUUGUGUAGGUGAAUAAAGUUACUGUUUUGCUGGAAACCUUUGCUGGAAGAACAAGACGCUGAAUGACAUGAAAGUGAGCGGUGUGUCGGCAGGUGGCCGCCCAGGUUCUGGGCUCAGUAGUGAUGUGUCGGCUGAAUUGAAAGCACCGACGGGGCAGUUGGAGACUGACAAGGAAGCAAAUGGUGGCCAGACUCUCCUUCCACCACAGUGCUGCUUGAGAAAUACUGAAAUUCCUGCCAAAUCUAACAGCAGAAACAACCCCAAAACAAAAGACUGCUGCUUCCCAUUGCCCAGCUCACACAUCCCCUGCCUCGCUGCACAGCGCCUCCAAAGUAAUCGACGCAAGCUAGUACUCCUGGAAUAAGUGAUGCUCAUUUGGUCGCCAAGACUACAAGUAAAUAUUGGACACACACACACAGGCAUCAUGACUCCCAAAGCGCCCUCUUUCCCUGUGUAUUUUGUGAGUUGCUAAUAUGAGGGUAAUAAUUUGUCAUUAAGGUUUAAUUUUUGUUGGCACCUUUGCUCUGGAUGUUUAAUUUGAGUCUUAAAUAAAC